rnacentral:rRNA from 2 species
UUAAAUUGAAGAGUUUGAUCAUGGCUCAGAUUGAACGCUGGCGGCAGGCCUAACACAUGCAAGUCGAACGGUAACAGGAAACAGCUUGCUGUUUCGCUGACGAGUGGCGG